UACGUAGGGACCAAGCGUUGUUCGGAUUUACUGGGCGUAAAGGGUGCGUAGGCGGCGCGGUAAGUCGGGUGUGAAAUCUUGGAGCUUAACUCCGAAACUGCAUUCGAUACUGCCGUGCUUGAGGACUGGAGAGGAGACUGGAAUUUACGGUGUAGCGGUGAAAUGCGUAGAUAUCGUAAGGAAGACCAGUGGCGAAGGCGGGUCUCUGGACAGUUCCUGACGCUGAGGCACGAAGGCCAGGGGAGCAAACGGG
rnacentral:rRNA from 1 species